AGCGGGGUAGAGGAGCGGUACCUCGGGAGGCUCAUAACCUCCAGACCCCGGUUCGAUUCCGGGCCCCGCAA
rnacentral:tRNA from 1 species